rnacentral:rRNA from 1 species
AGAGUUUGAUCCUGGCUCAGGAUGAACGCUAGCGGCAGGCUUAAUACAUGCAAGUCGGGGGGGCAGCAAUGUCACCGGCGGACGGGUGCGUAACGCGUACACAACGUGCCCCAGAGCGGGAGAUAGCAUCGGGAAACUGAUGGUAAUACCCCGUGGUGUUGGAGAUUGGCAUCUUUUUUCAACUAAAGAUUACACUCUGGGAUCGGUGUGCGUAUGAUUAGCUAGUUGGUAGGGUAACGGCUUACCAAGGCGAUGAUCAUUAGGGGGUGUGAGAGCAUGACCCCCCACACGGGUACUGAGACACGGACCCGACUCCUACGGGAGGCAGCAGUAAGGAAUAUUGGACAAUGGUCGGAAGACUGAUCCAGCCAUGCCGCGUGAAGGACGAAGGCGCUCAGCGUUGUAAACUUCUUUUGUACGGGAACAAAACCACCAAUGCGUUGGUGUCUGAGGGUACCGUAAGAAUAAGCACCGGCUAACUCCGUGCCAGCAGCCGCGGUAAUACGGAGGGUGCAAGCGUUAUCCGGAAUCACUGGGUUUAAAGGGUGCGUAGGCGGUUCGAUAAGUCAGUUGUGAAAUUCCCUCGCUUAACGAGUGGGACUGCGAUUGAUACUGUUGAACUUGAAUCAGGUUGAGGUAGGCGGAAUGUGACAUGUAGCGGUGAAAUGCAUAGAUAUGUCAUAGAACACCGAUUGCGAAGGCAGCUUGCUGGACCUGUAUUGACGCUGACGCACGAAAGCGUGGGGAGCAACAGGAUUAGAUACCCUGGUAGUCCACGCCCUAAACUAUGUUUACUUGCUGUCGGUCCUAGAGACGGAGUUGACGAGCGAAAGCGAUAGUCAACCGAGCGUGGAGUAGUACGUCGCAGAUGGAACUCAAAGGUAAGUCGACGGGCGUCGCACAGCGAGGAGCAUGUGAUCAUUCGAUGAUCGCGAGCAUCCUUACCUGGGCU